rnacentral:lncRNA from 1 species
GCACGACGUAGGGGCUCGACUACUUGGCGCCGUAAGACCAGGCCUGCCGCUCGCCUUCUGUCCGCCGCUUCUUCCCCACCUGGCCUUGUGUGUCACCUGCUCCGCUUGCGGCAGCGGCGAGAUACAGCCUCAGGUCGCUCGCAGCACGCGUCGUCACGUUGAUGCGCCGCCUAUCCUCCUUGACAUCAGAAAUUGAGGUUUGGGUUUACGUUAAAUCUUGCUCCCCCCUACCUAUUUCUCUUCUCUCCAGCCGCAUCUCGCACAACCCCUGGUGACGGCACGACCCUGUCUGCUAGAACGCUGUCCGUGACGGUGGUGGAGUCAGGCGUUACCGCAGCAGCCAGGCCUUCCUGUCGCCUGUCCCACAUCCGCCGCUGGAUUUGCUCCCGUCUCGCGAAGCCACGCCGCACUUCAAGGCGGCGCCGCCAUCCCGCUGCUCAGCACUCGCCUGUGCCUGCCCACAGCCGCAUUGGCCGAGCAGCAACCUAGGAACGAAUAGGUUUGUCUUCUGUUCUUGUUUACUUUUUGCAGUGUGCUCUGGUUUCCAUUUGUGUUUUUUUGUGAAUGCUUGUGAAAGUUCUGUGUAAAUGAAAUUAACUUUGCUUCAGAAUGAAAUACGUACUUCUUCUUUUUUAUGGAUUCUUGUGGUGUGACAUUGUGUUCCAAGCUAAUUUGGUUGUAUCUGAUGCUCCUCAGUUCUGUCAGGUUUGAAGGACAGCUUCGGUAUUAGCUCAGACCAAGGAAAUUUGUGCAGCAAUGGAGGAGGCUUUCCCUUGCUGAACGUGGUUCUUCUGAUCUCAAAAUGGAUUGGGUGUGCUCCUGCGAAAGUCUGUAAAUGAGCAGUCUGACCCUAAUGGCUUUCAGGAAGAGGCGCCUGCAAAUAACGAGCAUUUUGGGUACAUGUUGAAUGUGAGACCUCACAUGCACUUCAAAGUAAAAUUUGACUGAAAUGAAAUGAUAGAUGUUUGCUGCAAAUCUACCUUUUUUGUUGUGUAAAAUCAUGUUUUUUGCGUGUUUUGUUUUUAUUAUUUCCAAAAUAGUUCCAUUGCAGCUAUGUUUUAGAGUAAUUUAAUCAUGACUUAUACAUUUGUUUAAACUCCAAUCUUUUUGUUGUAGUUGCAAUACUCUGAAAGAAGUGUCACGCACAUUACAGAAAUGGUCCACUAUCAUUUUCUGAGUUCGUGUAGCAUGAUUUGUUUCCAGCUUUUAUGUGUAAUCACCACUACAACAACGUCCUGAACUGUUGGCCUUUCGCUUUGAUGUAGCUAAUAUUCCAUAUGCCAAAAAUGAAAUUUGCAGGAGAACCAGAAAAUAGAAGAAUGGUAUCUUCUCUCACCAACCAAAAUGCCUACACAUGUUUUCCUAGCCAUGGAGAACUGGUAAUAUGUCAUAUGCAACUCUCAAGAAUGUAUGGGCUGUGAAGGCUGAUUUUUUUUACAAGACUACAAGCCUAA